UUUGAAGGCAGUGAAAGUGGUUCCUAGUAUGAACAUUUUGAAAUGGAAAUGACAUCAUGUAUGCCUCAUUGUCUUGGUCAGAGUGCCUGUGUGGGUAAAUGUACACACACUUUAUUUGGGAUUCCAGCAGUUCCAGAGACGGAGGCCCUUGGGCUGGAAGUGACCACAUGGACCACUGGCUCUGUUGUCACAGAGGAUAGAUUAAACAACAGGCAUCAGAGCUGGAGUGGACCUGUGAGAAGUGUCUUGGCUGUCAAGCAGCUGAGAUAAAGAGUUUCAUCAGUCUGCCUCGUGCUGGUGCUUCACAUGAAGCGUUUCUGCUAUGA